rnacentral:rRNA from 1 species
UACGGAGGAUCCAAGCGUUAUCCGGAUUCAUUGGGUUUAAAGGGUGCGUAGGCGGAAUGAUAAGUCAGUGGUGAAAGCCUGCAGCUUAACUGCAGAACUGCCAUUGAUACUGUCAAUCUUGAGUACAUUUGAUGUGGGCGGAAUGUGUCAUGUAGCGGUGAAAUGCUUAGAUAUGACACAGAACACCGAUUGCGAAGGCAGCUCACAAAACUGUAACUGACGCUGAGGUGCGAAAGCGUGGGGAGCAAACAGG